rnacentral:rRNA from 1 species
UACGUAGGGGGCUAGCGUUGUCCGGAAUCAUUGGGCGUAAAGCGCGUGUAGGCUGUUCUGCAAGUCGGGUGUGAAAGCCCCGGGCUCAACCUGGGAAGUGCACUCGAAACUGCAGAACUCGAGUCCUGGAGAGGAAGGCGGAAUUCUCGGUGUAGAGGUGAAAUUCGUAGAUAUCGAGAGGAACACCGGUGGCGAAGGCGGCCUUCUGGACAGUGACUGACGCUGAGACGCGAAAGCGUGGGGAGCAAACAGG